rnacentral:lncRNA from 1 species
UGACAGUGAAACAGUGAAAAGAGAACAUAAGCAGGGGAAGUGGGAGAGGGAGAAGCAAGCUCCCCACGGAGCAGGACCUGAUCCCAGGACCCGAUCCCAGGAGCCCAGGAUCAUGACCCAGGCUGGAGGCGGACACUUGACUACUGAGCCACCCAAGUGUCCCUACUGUGAGCUUUCUGUCUCUCGAAGCUGACUCUUACCUGAUCCAGCUCCACAGGAAGAACUCAGCAAGAUACACACAGAGCCACCGAGAGGGAAUUCUGGUUUCAGUCCUGAGGUUAAGGGAGAAAACAGAACUGUGUGUCAUGCCUUUGCUGUGGUUUGUGGAAGAAGGAACAGGUAUGACAAGGAAUGAUAAUUAUAAAUGCUGAGAUUUAACGAAGCCUCACGUUCAGUGCUGUGAGAAGGAAAAAAGAAAAAAGAAGCUGUUUGACAGGAACAAAUGUAAUUACAUACUUGGUUGACUUUUCUUAUCUAUACUAAUUUUUGUGAAUUUGGUCUUUAGUAAUCUAUUCUUAAGGUACAUAUAGAAAUAUGUUCAUUUUCUGUCACUGAAACCUGAGUGUGUGUACAAAAUCAGUAUAUUUAUAAAAAUAGUUCAAUGUUUUUUGUUUUUGUUUUUGUAUUUUAAGGGAACACUUGUAAUACUGAUGUUUGUAUUGUUAAGAGCAAGAAUAAUGAUUUUUAAAUUGUUAUCUUUUUGUUUUGUGACAUAAAUGGAGGGACUGAUUUAGUUUUUAAUAUGGAAUACACAUUAAAAG